UACGUAGGGGGCAAGCGUUGUCCGGAUUUAUUGGGCGUAAAGAGCGUGUAGGCGGCCUGAAAGGUCAGCUGUGAAAACUCGGGGCUCAACCCCGAGACGUCGGUUGAAACCAUCUGGCUAGAGUCCGGAAGAGGAGUGUGGAAUUCCCGGUGUAGCGGUGAAAUGCGCAGAUAUCGGGAGGAACACCUGUGGCGAAAGCGGCUCACUGGACCACAACUGACGCUGAGGCGCGAAAGCUAGGGGAGCAAACAGG
rnacentral:rRNA from 1 species